rnacentral:tRNA from 1 species
GUCCAGAGAUGGGAAUCGAACCCACAGUGUUCAGCAUACCGGGCAGAUGCAAUGUCCACUAGGCUACCCUGGA